rnacentral:rRNA from 1 species
ACCGUAAACAAUUAAUUUACACCAAUAAGCGCCAGGGAAUUACGAGCAACGCUUAAAACCCAAAGGAUUUGACGGUGUCCCACCCCACUAGAGGAGCCUGUUCUAUAAUCGAUGAUCCCCGCUACACCCGACCAUUUCUCGCUUAUCAGUCUGUAUACCUCCGUCGAAAGCUUACCAUGUGAACGUCCGCAGUAGGCUUAAUGAUCUCACACGUCAAUACGUCAGGUCAAGGUGCAGCUUAAGAAAUGGGAAGUAAUGGGCUACAAUUUCUAACUUAGAACAAACGAAAGACUGUGUGAAAUCACAAUCAUGAAGGUGGAUUUAGUAGUAAAAAGAAAAUAGAGUAUUCUUUUUAACCCGGCUCUGGGACGCGUACACACCGCCCGUCACCCUCUUCGAUAGUAUCAUAUUCAGUUCUUAACCCAUCAUUACGUUUUAGAAGAAGCAAGUCGUAACAUGGUAAGUGUACUGGAAAGUGCACUUGGUUUAU